ACGGGUGAGUAACGCGUAAUCAACCUGCCCUACGGAUGGGGACAACAGAUGGAAACGACUGCUAAUACCGAAUACGUUCCAAAAGUGGCUGACUGUUGGAUGAUUGUGUGGCAUCUAUUUAUAAGCUAUCCCCGGAGGAGGGGUUUGCGUCUGAUUAGCUAGUUGGAGGGGUAACGGCCCACCAAGGCGACGAUCAGUAGCCGGUCUGAGAGGAUGAACGGCCACCUUGGACCUGCUCCCGGCCAGACUCCUAACGGAGGCCCCCAUGGGGAAUCUUCCCCCAUGGGACAAAGCCCGGAGGAACCACCCCCGGUGGGUGAAUACCGCCUUCCGGUUUGAAAGCUUCUGUUAAGCGAAAAAUAGCUUGUCUUGAAUAUCCUUGAAAAGAGACAGGGCCGUGGAAUAAACCCCCGGCUAAAUACGUGCCACCACCCGCGGUAAUACAUUUAUGGCAAGCGUUGUCCCAAUAAUUGUUCGUAAUAGACACCAGCCGGCUUCUCAAUUCUGCUGUCUUACUGCGAGGUUAACUACCUGGUGGAUGGAAGCUGAGAAGCUCACAUUAUCGUAGAGAGAACGGAAUACCUACUGUAGCAGCGACGUGCGGCGAUAUUAUUAGGUACUCGAUAGUGAGCGCAGCGACUGUACGAAAACUGACUGUGAGGGAGGAAGAAAGCGAAGGGAACGCACGAGAUAAAU
rnacentral:rRNA from 1 species